rnacentral:rRNA from 1 species
CGUAGGGCGCGAGCGUUGUCCGGAUUUAUUGGGCGUAAAGAGCUCGUAGGCGGCUUGUUGCGUCGACGUGAAAACCCGCGGCUUAACUGCGGGCUUGCGGUCGAUACGGGCGGGCUGGAGUUCGGUAGGGGAGACUGGAAUUCCUGGUGUAGCGGUGAAAUGCGCAGAUAUCAGGAGGAACACCGGUGGCGAAGGCGGGUCUCUGGGCCGAUACUGACGCUGAGGAGCGAAAGCGUGGGGAGCGAACAGGAUUAGAUACCCUGGUAGUCCACGCUGUAAACGUUGGGCGCUAGGUGUGGGGGGCCUCUCCGGUUUCCUGUGCCGCAGCUAACGCAUUAAGCGCCCCGCCUGGGGAGUACGGCCGCAAGGCUA